AGAGUUUGAUCCUGGCUCAGGAUGAACGCUGGCGGCGUGCCUAAUACAUGCAAGUCGAACGAGGUGCUUGAGUAGCAAUACGAGAGUAUCCUAGUGGCGAACGGGUGAGUAACGCGUUGGUGACCUACCCCAAAGUGUGGGAUAACAGUCCGAAAGGACUGCUAAUACCGCAUGUGGUUCUCGGAUUUAGAAACCGAUAACUAAAGGAGCAAUUCGCUUUGGGAGGGACCUGCGUCCCAUCAGCUAGUUGGUGAGGUAAUGGCUCACCAAGGCUACGACGGGUAGGGGACCUGAGAGGGUGACCCCCCACAAUGGAACUGAAACACGGUCCAUACACCUACGGGUGGCAGCAGUAGGGAAUAUUGCACAAUGGGCGAAAGCCUGAUGCAGCAACGCCGCGUGUGCGAUGAAGGCCUUCGGGUCGUAAAGCACUUUUCUGAGGGAUGAGCAAGGACAGUACCUCAGGAAUAAGUCUCGGCUAACUACGUGCCAGCAGCCGCGGUAAAACGUAGGAGGCAAGCGUUAUCCGGAUUCACUGGGCGUAAAGCGCGUGCAGGCGGUUCGGUAAGUUGGGCGUGAAAUCUCCUGGCUUAACUAGGAGAGGUCGUUCAAUACUACCGGACUUGAGAGUGAUAGAGGAAGAUGGAAUUCCCGGUGUAGUGGUGAAAUGCGUAGAUAUCGGGAGGAACACCAGUGGCGAAAGCGAUCUUCUGGAUCAUUUCUGACGCUCAGACGCGAAAGCUAGGGUAGUAAACGGGAUUAGAGACCCCGGUAAUCCUAGCCGUAAACGAUGUAAACUUGGCGUCGGUGGCUUUAACUCCAUCGGUGCCGCAGCUAACGCGAUAAGUUUACCGCCUGGGGACUACGAUCGCAAGAUUAAAACUCAAAGGAAUUGACGG
rnacentral:rRNA from 1 species